UGGGGAAUUUUGGACAAUGGGCGCAAGCCUGAUCCAGCCAUGCCGCGUGUCUGAAGAAGGCCUUUCGGGUUGUAAAGGACUUUUGUCAGGGAAGAAAAGGAUAGGGUUAAUACCCCUGUCUGAUGACGGUACCUGAAGAAUAAGCACCGGCUAACUACGUGCCAGCAGCCGCGGUAAUACGUAGGGUGCGAGCGUUAAUCGGAAUUACUGGGCGUAAAGCGGGCGCAGACGGUUACUUAAGCAGGAUGUGAAAUCCCCGGGCUCAACCUGGGAACUGCGUUCUGAACUGGGUGACUAGAGUGUGUCAGAGGGAGGUAGAAUUCCACGUGUAGCAGUGAAAUGCGUAGAGAUGUGGAGGAAUACCGAUGGCGAAGGCAGCCUCCUGGGAUAACACUGACGUUCAUGCCCGAAAGCGUGGGUAGCAAACAGGAUUAGAUACCCUGGUAGUCCACGCCCUAAACGAUGUCGAUUAGCUGUUGGGCAGCUUGACUGCUUAGUAGCGAAGCUAACGCGUGAAAUCGACCGCCUGGGGAGUACGGUCGCAAGAUUA
rnacentral:rRNA from 1 species